rnacentral:tRNA from 1 species
AUUAUCUUACUAUCUUUGAUAUAAGGGUUAUAUAAGAGAAUUAUCUUUUACUUUAGUAUUUUAUUGAAAAA